rnacentral:rRNA from 1 species
UACGUAGGGUGCGAGCGUUGUCCGGAAUUAUUGGGCGUAACGAGCUUGUAGGCGGUCUGUCGCGUCUGCUGUGAAAAUCCGGGGCUCAACCCCGGACUUGCAGUGGGUACGGGCAGACUAGAGUGUGGUAGGGGAGACUGGAAUUCCUGGUGUAGCGGUGAAAUGCGCAGAUAUCAGGAGGAACACCGAUGGCGAAGGCAGGUCGCUGGGCCACUACUGACGCUGAGAAGCGAAAGCAUGGGGAGCGAACAGG